rnacentral:rRNA from 1 species
AGAGCGAACGCUGGCGGCAGGCCUAAAACAUGCAAGUCGAACGGACCCUUCGGGGUUAGUGGCGGACGGGUGAGUAACACGUGGGAACGUGCCUUUUGGUUCAGAACAACUCAGGGAAACUUGAGCUAAUACUGAAUAAGCCCUACGGGGGAAAGAUUUAUCGCCAUUAGAGCGGCCCGCGUUGGAUUAGCUAGUUGGUGAGGUAAAGGCUCACCAAGGCUACGAUCCAUAGCUGGUCUGAGAGGAUGAUCAGCCACACUGGGACUGAGACACGGCCCAGACUCCUACGGGAGGCAGCAGUUAGGAAUCUUGCGCAAUGGGCAAAGCCUGACGCAGCCAUGCCGCGUGAAUGAUGAAGGUCUUAGGAUUGUAAAAUUCUUUCAGCGGGAAGAUAAUGACUGUACCCGCAGAAGAAGCUCCGGCUAACUUCGUGCCAGCAGCCGC